AUGGCUCAGAUUGAACGCUGGCGGCAGGCCUAACACAUGCAAGUCGAGCGGAUGACGGGAGCUUGCUCCCUGAUUCAGCGGCGGACGGGUGAGUAAUGCCUAGGAAUCUGCCUGGUAGUGGGGGACAACGUCUCGAAAGGGACGCUAAUACCGCAUACGUCCUACGGGAGAAAGCAGGGGACCUUCGGGCCUUGCGCUAUCAGAUGAGCCUAGGUCGGAUUAGCUAGUUGGUGAGGUAAUGGCUCACCAAGGCGACGAUCCGUAACUGGUCUGAGAGGAUGAUCAGUCACACUGGAACUGAGACACGGUCCAGACUCCUACGGGAGGCAGCAGUGGGGAAUAUUGGACAAUGGGCGAAAGCCUGAUCCAGCCAUGCCGCGUGUGUGAAGAAGGUCUUCGGAUUGUAAAGCACUUUAAGUUGGGAGGAAGGGUUGUAGAUUAAUACUCUGCAAUUUUGACGUUACCGACAGAAUAAGCACCGGCUAACUCUGUGCCAGCAGCCGCGGUAAUACAGAGGGUGCAAGCGUUAAUCGGAAUUACUGGGCGUAAAGCGCGCGUAGGUGGUUUGUUAAGUUGGAUGUGAAAGCCCCGGGCUCAACCUGGGAACUGCAUUCAAAACUGACAAGCUAGAGUAUGGUAGAGGGUGGUGGAAUUUCCUGUGUAGCGGUGAAAUGCGUAGAUAUAGGAAGGAACACCAGUGGCGAAGGCGACCCACCUGGACUGAUACUGA
rnacentral:rRNA from 1 species